GUUUGAACUGUGUUCAGGAAUAAAAUCUGAACCCCUGAAUAAAUGUAAUGAUGCAAUGAAUCCUUUAUUGGGUGCAGAACAGUGACUGUGUAAAUGCAAAUAAAGAGUUUGAGAACAUCUUCAUUUUGUGCUGUUGUGUGCUGGUGUUAGAAAGUAUCAUAUGCUAAGGGGAGCAAUCUACCUGUUUAUCUAGUCUCCUCUCUUGCUAGAAAAAACGCAACACCUGUGAACCCAAAAAUAUCUGGGAGAGAUGACAAAGCUCUGACAUCUCUUAAAGUCAUGAACCACGCACUGUAUUUUGGCACUGACACCACACCAAACUCAACCUAUCCGUUUGGUGCUUGCAUGAAUUUCUAUCUGUACAGCAAAUGUGAUAAAUCUGAGAUACUGAAGUUGGAUAUUAUCUCUUCUAGUUUCCAUCGACAGGAGGAGAACCAGCUGGGAGUUCUGGUUGAGCCACACGUGCUGACUACCAGGGCUCCCCUCAGUGAGCUGCUGAGACCCACCUCCAUGAGAAGGAAAUGAAAUCACCAGCCUGCAGUCAUUAAGAGGAAACUUGGCAGAAAGUGUGACGGAAGGUCUGGUAGGGUCACCCGAAGCAUCAGCGUUGAAGAAACCCAGAGGUGCAAGUGGGAUGGGUUUGACUACAGGUUGAAACUAUUUGUGACUGUAAACCCUGCCCCGAGCUGGGGUACACCUGGAUGUGUUGACCCAAAUGCAUAACAUAUUUGAGGU